GCUCUGGGGCUGCCGGCGGCGGCGCGCUCGCCCUUCCUGCCCUCGGGAGAGAUCGUUUCCAGGAAUUGAGGGGCUGCGGAGGCAGGAAAUCCUGCGGGGCCCCGUGCGGGGAGCGGCCGCAAUGGCAUCACCUCCGUGCGCGGGAGGGUGGGGUCCCCAGCCGCCUCCUCCCUGCUCCGUGAGAGCGUCCGCGCGAUGGAAUGUGGAUCGAGGUGUUGAAUCUAUAAGCAGAGAUGGAGUGCCAUUAUCCUUCAAAGUGCACAUGGAAUAGAUAAGAGAAGCUAUACAUAAGACCAUCUGAUACCAGUCAGGAUGUCAAGACUGUGAUUUUUCCUCAUUCACAGAAGAUACUGAGGUGACAAAAAUGUUU